UACGAAGGGGGCGAGCGUUGUUCGGAUUUACUGGGCGUAAAGGGCGCGCAGGCGGCCGCUCAAGUCAGGCGUGAAAGCACCGGGCUUAACCUGGGAACUGCGUCUGGGACUGAGAGGCUAGAGUUCGGGAGAGGAGAGUGGAAUUCCCAGUGUAGAGGUGAAAUUCGUAGAUAUUGGGAAGAACGCCGGUGGCGAAGGCGGCUCUCUGGACCGAGACUGACGCUGAGGCGCGAAAGCGUGGGGAGCAAACAGG
rnacentral:rRNA from 1 species